rnacentral:tmRNA from 1 species
UUCCAUGAGAUUAUAACAAAUAAAGGGAAGGCAGACCCUUCGCUGACCUACAAUGGCGACAUAUUGGCGGCAGAGCAUUAAAAACGCAUAAAACGGACAAACACCAGAUAACAAUAAUGCAUUGUUUUCAAACAUAAAUUAUUGUUUUAAACAUAGUGAAAAUGGUAUGUAGGAAUUUCGGACGCGGGUUCAACUCCCGCCAGCUCCACCA